UUCCGUUGAAUGACGUGCUUGCACUGAUUUCAACACAUGAAGCGAGUGGCGAACUGGUGAGUAACACGUGGGAAAUCUGCCCAGAAGCAGGGGAUAACACUUGGAAACAGGUGCUAAUACCGUAUAACAACAAAAUCCGCAUGGAUUUUGUUUGAAAGGUGGCUUCGGCUAUCACUUCUGGAUGAUCCCGCGGCGUAUUAGUUAGUUGGUGAGGUAAAGGCCCACCAAGACGAUGAUACGUAGCCGACCUGAGAGGGUAAUCGGCCACAUUGGGACUGAGACACGGCCCAAACUCCUACGGGAGGCAGCAGUAGGGAAUCUUCCACAAUGGACGAAAGUCUGAUGGAGCAAUGCCGCGUGAGUGAAGAAGGGUUUCGGCUCGUAAAACUCUGUUGUUAAAGAAGAACACCUUUGAGAGUAACUGUUCAAGGGUUGACGGUAUUUAACCAGAAAGCCACGGCUAACUACGUGCCAGCAGCCGCGGUAAUACGUAGGUGGCAAGCGUUGUCCGGAUUUAUUGGGCGUAAAGCGAGCGCAGGCGGUUUUUUAAGUCUGAUGUGAAAGCCUUCGGCUUAACCGGAGAAGUGCAUCGGAAACU
rnacentral:rRNA from 1 species